ACCGAGAUUCAACAUGGAACGAGUGGCGGACGGGUGAGUAACACGUGGGUAACCUGCCCUUAAGUGGGGGAUAACAUUUGGAAACAGAUGCUAAUACCGCAUAGAUCCAAGAACCGCAUGGUUCUUGCUGAAAGAUGGCGUAAGCUAUCGCUUUUGGAUGGACCCGCGGCGUAUUAGCUAGUUGGUGAGGUAAUGGCUCACCAAGGCGAUGAUACGUAGCCGAACUGAGAGGUUGAUCGGCCACAUUGGGACUGGACACGGCCCAAACUCCUACGGGAGGCAGCAGUAGGGAAUCUUCCACAAUGGACGCAAGUCUGAUGGAGCAACGCCGCGUGAGUGAAGAAGGCUUUCGGGUCGUAAAACUCUGUKKUUGGAGAAGAAGGUCGGCAGAGUAACUGUUGUCGGCGUGACGGUAUCCAACCAGAAAGCCACGGCUAACUACGUGCCAGCAGCCGCGGUAAUACGUAGGUGGCAAGCGUUAUCCGGAUUUAUUGGGCGUAAAG
rnacentral:rRNA from 2 species